rnacentral:rRNA from 1 species
UACGUAGGGCGCAAGCGUUGUCCGGAAUUAUUGGGCGUAAAGAGCUCGUAGGCGGUUUGUCGCGUCUGCUGUGAAAACCUAAGGCUCAACCUUGGGCUUGCAGUGGGUACGGGCAGACUAGAGUGCGGUAGGGGUGACUGGAAUUCCUGGUGUAGCGGUGGAAUGCGCAGAUAUCAGGAGGAACACCGAUGGCGAAGGCAGG